GUUAAGAUAGUUAAAAGUUAAAUAACAAAACUCUGAAGAAGUUUUAUUGAAGGAGAGUUUUCCCUUCUCAUAACA
rnacentral:tRNA from 1 species